UACGAAGGGGGCUAGCGUUGCUCGGAAUUACUGGGCGUAAAGCGCACGUAGGCGGAUCGUUAAGUCAGGGGUGAAAUCCUGGAGCUCAACUCCAGAACUGCCUUUGAUACUGAAGAUCUUGAGUUCGGGAGAGGUGAGUGGAACUGCGAGUGUAGAGGUGAAAUUCGUAGAUAUUCGCAAGAACACCAGUGGCGAAGGCGGCUCACUGGCCCGAUACUGACGCUGAGGCACGAAAGCGUGGGGAGCAAACAGG
rnacentral:rRNA from 1 species